UAGAUCCUCAGUUUUCUUGGGGAUCUUAGAUGUCUGGGUUCCUGAGAGGUUAGGGAGUGGGGAAGCAGGAUUUGCCAGUCUUCAUGUGACCAGGGACGGCGUAGAGCCUCUCUGGCCUCUUCCAGGUGUUGGACAUGGCCACGGACAGCUUCCUCGCAGGGCUGGUGAGUGUCCUGGAUCCCCCGGAUACCUGGGUUCCCAGCCGCCUGGACCUGCGGCCUGGCGAAAGUGAGGACAUGCUGGAGCUGGUGGCUGAAGUCCGAAUCGGGGACAGAGAUCCCAUCCCUCUGCCUGUGCCCAGCCUGCUGCCCCGUCUCAGGGCCUGGAGGAUGGGCAAAACGGGUA
rnacentral:lncRNA from 1 species